rnacentral:rRNA from 1 species
CGGCAGGCUUAACACAUGCAAGUCGAGGGGUAACAGUCCCCUUUGCUUUUUUGCUGACGACCGGCGCACGGGUGAGUAACGCGUAUGCAACCUACCUUUUACUGGAAGAUAGCCCCGAGAAAUCGGGAUUAAUACUCCAUAACAUUAUGAUAUCGCAUGAUAUUAUAAUUAAAGCUUCGGCGGUAAAAGAUGGGCAUGCGUGACAUUAGUUUGUUGGUAAGGUAACGGCUUACCAAGACUUCGAUGUCUAGGGGUUCUGAGAGGAUUGUCCCCCACACUGGUACUGAGACACGGACCAGACUCCUACGGGAGGCAGCAGUGUGAAAUAUUGGUCAAUGGUCGAAAGACUGAACCAGCCAUGCCGCGUGCAGGAAGAAUGCCCUCUGGGUUGUAAACUGCUUUUAUAAGGGAAUAAACCCCAUUACGUGUAGUGGGCUGAAUGUACCUUAUGAAUAAGCACCGGCUAACUCCGUGCCAGCAGCCGCGGUAAUACGGAGGGUGCAAGCGUUAUCCGGAUUUAUUGGGUUUAAAGGGUCCGUAGGUGGAAUUGUAAGUCAGUGGUGAAAUCUUUCGGCUUAACCGGAAAACUGCCAUUGAUACUGCAGUUCUUGAGUAUGCUCGAAGUAGGCGGAAUAUGUCAUGUAGCGGUGAAAUGCAUAGAUAUGACAUAGAACACCAAUAGCGAAGGCAGCUUACUAGAUCAUAACUGACACUGAGUGACGAAAGCGUGGGGAGCGAACAGGAUUAGAUACCCUGGCAGUCCACGCCGUAAACGAUGAUCACUAGACAUUGGCGAUAUACUGUCGGUGUCAAAGCGAAAGUAUUAAGUGAUCUACCUGGGGAGUACGGUCGCAAGACUGAAACUCAAAGGAAUUGACGGGGGCCCGCACAAGCGGUGGAGCAUGUGGUUUAAUUCGAUGAUACGCGAGGAACCUUACCUGGGCUUAAAUGCAGAACGACAGACUGAAAUAGGUUUUCCCUUCGGGGCUAUUUACAAGGUGCUGCAUGGUUGUCGUCAGCUCGUGCCGUGAGGUGUCGGGUUAAGUCCCAUAACGAGCGCAACCCCUAUCGUUAGUUGCCAGCGGAUAAUGCCGGGGACUCUAGCGAGACUGCCACCGUAAGGUGAGAGGAAGGUGGGGAUGACGUCAAAUCAGCACGGCCCUUAUGUCCAGGGCUACACACGUGUUACAAUGGCAGGGACAAAAGGCAGCUACACAGCGAUGUGAUGCUAAUCUCUAAAGCCUGUCCCAGUUCGGAUUGGAGUCUGCAACCCGACUCCAUGAAGUUGGAUUCGCUAGUAAUCGGAUAUCAGCAAUGAUCCGGUGAAUACGUUCCCGGGCCUUGUACACACCGCCCGUCAAACCAUGGAAGCUGGGGGCACCUGAAGUCUGUGACCGCAAGGAGCGGCCUAGGGUGAAACUGGUAACUAGGGCUAAGUC